rfam:Gorilla gorilla gorilla genomic chromosome, chr9, whole genome shotgun sequence
GCCAGGUGUGGUGGCGUGCACCUGUAAUCCCAACUACUCCGGAGGCUGAGGUAGGAGAAUUGCUUGAACCUGGGAGGCAGAGGUGCAGUGAGCCAAGAUCACGCCACAGCACUCCAGCCUGGGUGACAGAGCGAGACUCUAUCUCAA